CCGUAGCCAUUUUGGCUCAAGGUAAACGCUUGGCCCGGGCGUUUGCUUUGGCCAUCGC
rnacentral:misc_RNA from 1 species